CGUUCCCGGGCCUUGUACACACCGCCCGUCACGUCAUGAAAGUUGGAGACGCCUGAAGUGGGUGAGCCAACCGUAAGGGGGCAGGUCCCCAAGGAGUGGUCGGUAACUGGGGUG
rnacentral:rRNA from 1 species